rnacentral:rRNA from 1 species
AGUGAACGCUGGCGGUAGGCCUAACACAUACAAGUCGAACGGCAGCACAGUAAGAGCUUGCUCUUACGGGUGGCGAGUGGAGGACGGGUGAGGAAUACAUCGGAAUCUACUUUUUCGUGGGGGAUAACGUAGGGAAACUUACGCUAAUACCGCAUACGACCUACGGGUGAAAGCAGGGGAUCUUCGGACCUUGCGCGAUUGAAUGAGCCGAUGUCGGAUUAGCUAGUUGGCGGGGUAAAGGCCCACCAAGGCGACGAUCCGUAGCUGGUCUGAGAGGAUGAUCAGCCACACUGGAACUGAGACACGGUCCAGACUCCUACGGGAGGCAGCAGUGGGGAAUAUUAGACAAUGGGCGCAAGCCUGAUCCAGCCAUACCGCGUGGGUGAAGAAGGCCUUCGGGUUGUAAAGCCCUUUUGUUGGGAAAGAAAAGCAGCAGGUUAAUACCCCGCUGUUCUGACGGUACCCAAAGAAUAAGCACCGGCUAACUUCGUG